GCUCUCGUCGUUCAACGGAUAGGACGGCUCCCUGCGAAGGAGCAAAUUGAGGUUCAAUUCCUCACGAGAGCA
rfam:Candidatus Colwellbacteria bacterium RIFCSPLOWO2_01_FTLL_48_10 rifcsplowo2_01_scaffold_2767, whole genome shotgun sequence.